AACGAACGCUGGCGGCAUGCCUAACACAUGCAAGUCGAACGAGACCUUCGGGUCUAGUGGCGCACGGGUGCGUCACGCGUGGGAACCUGCCCUUAGGUUCGGAAUAACUCCCCGAAAGGGGUGCUAAUACCGGAUAAUGUCUUCGGCCCAAAGAUUUAUCGCCUUUGGAUGGGCCCGCGUUGGAUUAGCUAGUUGGUAGGGUAAAAGCCUACCAAGGCGACGAUCCAUAGCUGGUCUGAGAGGAUGAUCAGCCACACUGGGACUGAGACACGGCCCAGACUCCUACGGGAGGCAGCAGUGGGGAAUAGUGGACAAUGGGCGAAAGCCUGAUCCAGCAAUGACGCGUGAGUGAUGAAGGCCUUAGGGUUGUAAAGCUCUUUUAACCGGGAUGAUAAUGACAGUACCGGGAGAAUAAGCUCCGGCUAACUCCGUG
rnacentral:rRNA from 1 species